rnacentral:RNase_P_RNA from 1 species
UCUAUCAGCCAGGCUAUCGCUUCCCGCCAUUGGCGGGGGGAGGAAAGUCCGGACAGCAAAGAGCAACACACCGGUUAAGCGCCGGCUGCCAGUAAAAGGGCAAGAGAUAGUGCCACAGAAAAUAACUGUCUCACCUUAGGGUGGGAUGAGGGUGAAAAUGUGAGGUAAGAGCUCACGGGUUUUUAUAGUAAUAUAAAAACCGGGUAAACCUUGUGUGCUGUAAUGCCAUGUACACCUGCGCCUGAAGGCGGCUCGUUUGAUUCUGAUAACAAUUGGAAGCGCAGGAGGGUAGGCAGCAAGACCUUGUCAGUAAUGGCAAGGCCAGAUAAAUGAUGGCCGUUCUGAUUAAAUUCAGGAUAACAGGAUCCGGCUUAUUGGCUGAUAGAUUUU